rnacentral:lncRNA from 1 species
UUUGGGCUCCUCUGGUUUUUUCUUGUUUUUUUGUUUGUUUGUUUGUUUGUUUUUUUGUUUUUUUUUUUUUUUUUUUUUGCUUUUUGUUUUGUUCCUUGCAGGUUAUAAUUAAAUCUCUCCAUAGGCAGAAUCCAAAGUUCAGUGAAAUAUUUCAAAAGACAAAGGGAAGAUCACUCCUGGAAAGGAAAUUAGGGGGAUGCAAAUUCCCUAUUCACUUUUGCUACAAGCUGUUUCUUCACAUUUUCAAGGUGUGAUCUAACAGAGACACUGGCCCAUCUGCUCACCAGCAUUCUACACCCAUGGUAGCAAAGGCAAUCUUGAUAUUGAAACUUUUUUUUUAAUAAAUUACUAAUUGACUUUGUAUAUUAUAGAAGCUAUAUGUGGAAUUUUGCCUUUUAUCUUUUCACUUGAAAAAGCAAUCAGAAAUCCCUAAAUAUGUCUGCAUUUCCUAUUUUGUUUCUUAAAUUUUGCAAAGAAGGGAAAUAAAAUUAGGUUGCAGUUAUUAAUUCUUGCCAUCUGCUUUCUUAAACUAUGCAUUUUAGAGAUGAAACUAAAAGUGUCCACCAUGUGAUGAAUGAAGCUAGUGCCAGGCUAGGUAGCUGUCCACUGAACUUCUUCCCUGUGGUGAGUGAAUGGUCUCUCCUCAGAGUGUUACUUCUUUUAAGACCAUCUCUCUGCAUGGUCAUCUCCUGUGUAGUUACAGAGUGAUAACCUCCAGACCUGGCAUUGCCAGCUCCUGCCCCAACACUUGAACCUGUGCUACGUUUUUGAAGAUUUAUAAAGUAACAUUGUUGCAAAAAAAAAAAAUGUAUUUUUGAUCUAAAUACAGGUUCUGCAUAUCUGUUAGGUUUUACAAAUUACCAGUGUUUGUCACCUUUUUUUGUCUAGGAAGAAAACAUAAGAUUUCAAAUAAAUUUUUGAACC